UGGGGAGGAGGGCAGCUUGGGGAGGAGGCCCCGGGUGGCGGAGGGAGGGGAGAGCGCUCUUCUGCUCCCAGAGAUCACCCCAGAGCUGCGAGUUUGCUCACUUGGGGGUCUGCCUGAAGCUUUGUGGGCUUUGUGGGACUGGGCGCCGUCUCCUGCUGCGGAAAGGAACAAACUCUCACGUGCGGCUUUGCGAAGGCUCGUGUGCAGGACCCGGCUUCGGCGCUCGGUGCAGAUCCUGCAGGGCGAGAGGUUGUGGAUCUGCCCACACCUUUCCGAGGCUCACAAACCCAGUCUUCGGCGCCCGAGUUCCCACACUCUCCUCCUGCCCCCUCCCCCCCACCAUUCCCGGACUCUGCGCUUGGCUGCCCCUCCCCACACACACGCGGCUGUUUGUUUUUGUUGGGUUUGUCAAUGUUGUCUUUGUUCAAGAGAUUGUGUCAUCGCCUGGAUGCCGGGAAUAAAGUGCGACGCUGUGUGUGAUCAAGUGUGUAACGUGUGCGGCCAGAGCUAAGGGAUCCUCUGUCCACUAGUGCCGGAGUAGACAGUCUUAUUACCCUGAGCUUACCGAAGAGCAAACCGAGGCAGCGGAGAUGACGAUGUCCUGGAGAUCCACAGCCAGUAAGUGGCAGAGCCAGGUUUGUGACAAGGACUCCGAGAUAACCGCACAUUUCGGCUAGCCCCUGCCCCUGACUACUGACACAGGGCCUCCAGUGCUGGGCACACCUCCACUCAGAUGUUGCUGAUGGCUCCCAAGGGCGCUUCAUGUGGGCUCAUAAACUUGCUCUGUGCUUAGAGCACAGCAGGUGCAAUGUGUCCUGCUGGAGGAGGAGGGGCAGCAGGAGUCUCUGCCCUCCUGUGUCACCUCAGCUGAUUCCAUCCCUGAAGCCCCUGGGUUUCCCUGAGGCUGGACUGAGGACGGCUUUGGGUGCUUGCCACCCUGCUGUGCUGCA